rnacentral:pre_miRNA from 1 species
AAAUUGCCCCUUAAGUUUUGCAACUGUAGCAGUUUUGACCCCCAAUGUCAAAAAUAAAAUAACACGUGACACCUCACUUAGGAUGUCACGUCAGCGUAGACCGAAUCAAAAUUGGUUUUGGGGCCAAAACUGCCACAGGUGCAAAACUUAAGGGGCGGUUU